rnacentral:rRNA from 1 species
UACGAAGGGGGCUAGCGUUGUUCGGAAUCACUGGGCGUAAAGCGCACGUAGGCGGUUACUUAAGUCGGAUGUGAAAGCCCUUGGCUCAACUGAGGAAGUGCAUCCGAAACUGAGUAGCUUGAGUACGAAAGAGGGUCGCGGAAUUCCCAGUGUAGAGGUGAAAUUCGUAGAGAUCCGGAAGAACACCGGUGGCGAAGGCGGUCUGCUGGGCCAAGACUGACGCUGAGGCGCGACAGCGUGGGGAGCAAACAGG